GCCCUCUUAGCUUAGUGGCAAAGCAGUGGUAUCGUAAACCGCCGAUGUCAGUUCGAUUCUGACAGAGGGCU
rfam:Microgenomates (Woesebacteria) bacterium GW2011_GWB1_43_14 TV74_C0013, whole genome shotgun sequence.